UUGGGAAAACUAAAUAACCUGGUAAAAGAGUGGAUACGAGAAAUCAGUGAAAGCAAGAAUCUUCCACAAUCUGUAAUUGAAAAUGUUGGAGGAAAAAUUUUUACAUUUGGAUCUUACAGAUUAGGAGUGCAUACAAAAGGCUGUUGAAGAGGCAUUCGUACCAGUUAUUAAACUCUGUUUUGAUGGGAUAGAGAUUGAUAUUUUGUUUGCAAGAUUAGCACUGCAGACAAUUCCAGAAGAUUUGGAUCUACGAGAUGACAGUCUGCUUAAAAAUUUAGAUAUAAGAUGUAUAAGAAGUCUUAACGGUAUGAGAAAGCCUACUUCCUUUUGUAUACUUCAGAUUUGUCAGAUAUUAGUUAUUUUUACACAAGUUUUAUAUUGAAGCUUUUUAUAGCUAUAUUGUUAACACAGUAGUGAGUUAAAUAAAAUGAACUUUGCCUAAUAAACUA
rnacentral:sRNA from 1 species